rnacentral:rRNA from 1 species
ACUCAAAUGAAUUGACGGGGGCCCGCACAAGCGGUGGAGCAUGUGGUUUAAUUCGACGCAACGCGAAGAACCUUACCUGGGCUCGAACGGCUUCAGACAAACGAUAGAAAUAUUGUCUUCUCGCAAGAGACUGGAGUCGAGGUGCUGCAUGGCUGUCGUCAGCUCGUGUCGUGAGAUGUUGGGUUAAGUCCCGCAACGAGCGCAACCCUUGUCCUGUGUUGCCAUCAUUAAGUUGGGCACUCUCAGGAGACCGCCAGCGAUAAGUUGGAGGAAGGUGGGGAUGAUGUCAAGUCAUCAUGGCCUUUAUGUCCAGGGCUACACACGUGCUACAAUGGGCGGUACAAUGCGCUGCGAACCCGCGAGGGGAAGCCAAUCGCAAAAAACCGUCCUCAGUUCGGAUCGCAGGCUGCAACUCGCCUGCGUGAAGCUGGAAUCGCUAGUAAUGCUAUAUCAGAACGAUAGCGUGAAUACGUUCCCGGGCCUUGUACACACCGCCCGU